UNCAAACAGCACCCGCCUCGACCCACAGGA
rnacentral:piRNA from 1 species